GUAGAGUAAGUUCUUCAGCUAGAACCUUUACAUCUCUUCCUCUCAGGUUCGUUCAGUUAAUUCUCGCUCUUAUUUUAUGUAAAUCGGAUUGACGAUUGGAAACCGAAAUCUGGGUGUUGGGAAUUUUUAUUUUGCAGUGUUAGAAUUAGAAAUUUCAUUGAUUAUGGAUCCGAACUACAGUGGUUUCUUCAAUUCCCAAUAUGGGUAUGAAUGGAAUGAUGAUGAGACCGCUCAUCACAGUUCUCAUCAGCAGAAUUCUUCACUGGAUCCCAACUUGAUGGGUUCUUAUAAUCAAGCCCAUCUACCGGCGCCGGCGGCGCCGGUGCCUGCGCCAGCUCCGGAGCCGGAGCCGGAGCCGGAGCCGGAGCCGAUGGUCCAUCAUUCUGGACAUGAAAAAGAGUUUUCCGAUGCCAUUUUCCAGUACAUAGGCCAGAUGUUGAUGGAAGAGGACAUGGAGAUGAGGUCGUGUAUGUUUCACGAUCCCUUGGCUCUCCAAGCCGCCGAGAAAUCAUUCUACGACGCUAUCGGUCAGAAGUAUCCUCUCUCACCCACCCAACUACCCCCUCCGACCGGUCGUAAUCUUAACGGAGAUCAUGGCUGCAGAAACAGUAAUGAGCCCUCUUUCUUGCAAUCCCCUGUUAAUCUUCCUCCCGUUGACUACGUUUUCCAGGCCACUCCCCAAAUACCUUCCACCUUUUCGAUCAAUAGCUUCAGUGAUGUUGGUGUUGGUGCUGGUACAUCUACUUGCAGUUUUGCUGUGCCUCUUGUUCCGAGUACUUGUAUCGAGAGCGAUUCCAUAUUGCAGUUCAGAAGAGGGAUGGAGGAAGCUAGUAAAUUCCUUCCUAGCACAAGUCUCUUGACUAUUGAUUUGGAGAGCCAUAGGCCGCCUCUUGGAACCAAUGAGAGGGACUAUUUGCCAUGUGGUGGAAGGGGAAGGAAGAAUCACUCGAGUGGGGAUAUAGAUGUGGAAGAAGGAAGGACUAGCAAGCAGUUAGCGGUAUGCUUUGACGAGGUCGAGCUAUCAGAGAUGUUUGAUCGGGUUUUGCUUUGUCCAGAAUCAAACAAGAAUGGGCCUUCCAGUUCUACUGGAGAUAAUGAAGCUUUGCCGAAUAGAGCAGGUGGAUUACCGCAGCAGAAUGUGCAAACAUAUCUAUUUAAUGCGGGGAAGGGUUGCAGAAAGGAACAGAGAAAGGAAAAGGAAGUAGUGGAUUUGAGGGCUCUACUCAUUCAUUGUUCCCGAGCAGUCACUAAUAAUGAUCACAGGAGUGCAAAUGAACUGUUAAAGGAGAUCAGGAAGUACUCUUCUCCUUUUGGUGAUGGAACUCAAAGGACUGCCCAUUACUUUGCCAAUGCUCUUGAGGCGCGCUUAGCUGGCACUGGGACCCAAAUCUAUGCUGGCUUGGCUCGCCAGAGGACAUCAGCUACAAAUAUGUUGAAAGCUUACCAGCUUUAUCUAUCAACCUGCCCUUUCACAAGGAUGGCUAUUUUUUUCGCAAACCACCUCAUUUUGAAAUUAGCGCGGACAGCAACUACUCUCCAUAUCAUAGAUUUUGGUAUCCUGUAUGGUUUUCAGUGGCCCAUUGUUAUCCAACGUCUCGCAGACGGAGUCGGUCAGCCUUCUAAGCUUCGGAUUACUGCUAUAGAGCUACCCCAGCCCGGUUUCCGGCCUGCAGAAAGGGUAGAGGAGACGGGGCGGCGUUUGGGAAAGUAUUGUGAGCGCUUUAAUAUUCCUUUUGAGUAUAAGUGCAUAGCACAGAAAUGGGAAACUGUCCAAAUUGAAGAGCUCCGGUUAGAUAGGAAUGAGACAAUUGUUGUGAAUUGCCUCUUUGGAUUCAAGAAUCUUCUCGAUGGGACAGUUUUGAUAGACAGUCCAAGGGAUGCUGUUUUGGUGUUAAUCCGGAAGAUAAAUCCCCAAAUUUUCAUCCAUUCUGUAGUUAAUGGAUCCUAUGAUGCUGCUCUCUUUGCUGCACGGUUCCGAGAGGCACUUUUCCACUACUCUGCAUUGUUUGAUAUGUUUGAUACUAACUUAACCCGUGAAAAUCAGGAGAGAUUGAUGUUUGAGAAAGAGUUUUAUGGGCGGGAAGUUAUGAAUGUCUUAGCAUGUGAGGGCUCUGAGAGGGUUGAGAGGCCUGAGACAUACAGGCAGUGGCAGGCUCGAAAUAUGAGUGCUCAGUUCAGGCAGCUCCCAUUGGAUAGGGAACUCCUGAUGAUGUUGAAGACUAGGGUUAAAGCUGCUUACCACAAGGAUUUUUUGAUUGAUGAAGAUGGCCCCUGGAUGCUGCAGGGAUGGAAAGGCCGAAUCAUUUGUGCUACCACAUCUUGGAUUCCAGCAGAGGACUCUUGGAUCCUUGCAGAGCAGUUUUAAAGUGCAUUUUUUAAUAAUGCAGAAUUGGAUGAGAAUUGGCAGUUACUUUGGUCUAUCCAGGAAGCACAAGAAAACUGAAUUCUUGAGCUUAAUGUUCUCAGAUCAGUUCUGGCUGAGGCAUCUUGGUGGACUCCGCUGCACUACCAAUUUCAAGCUUCAUUUCGGCAGUCCAGUAUCAAGUACUUUUUUCUAUUGUAAUGUUUUUUUCUGUGAAGAUUCUAGGCUUAGAUUGACCCCUCCCUUUUUCAACUCUUCUACCACAUGGACGAAUCGUUGGUAGUGUGCCAUGUAUAAGAUUAAGCACUAAAAAAAUAAGGGGGCUCAGGGCACUCUAAAGAGACUAGGAAUUUAAUAUACAGAACUCCAUAGUGUCUUGUUGCAUUGAAUUCUUAGGUAGACUGUCUACCAGUGGCCAAAACAAAAUUUUAUCUCUGUUUUGAUUGCAUAGAUGGCAUCAGACUCAAAUAUUCAUAUUUGCGGUGGCUUUGGGUUAAUCCAUUUUGGCUUUGUUUAUUUUUAAAA